GCGAAUAUAGUUUAACAAAAACAUUAGAUUGUGAUUCUGAAAACAGAGGUUAAACUCCUCUUAUUUGCC
rnacentral:tRNA from 1 species